UCCAUUAUUUGAACAGCAGGCAAGUACAUAAUGUGAUAGAAAUGAUGAUAGUUUUGGGGAGAUAUUAAAACAGUAUCUUUGUGCUGCUACAUGAUAGGGCUCUAAUUGCUAAAUUAAAUGACACAAAUUAAAAAUACUUAGUCAUUAUCAUAACUCCAGAAAAAUUAUUCGAGACUUCAGAAACAGAAAUACUUCAGGGAUAAAAACACCAGCAAGAAACGGGGAAAAAAAGUUUGAUCUACAAGGAAACCUGAGUUGUUUAAAUACUCAAAAUAAAAGUCAGCAGCCCCUGGGAAACUGAAAAACCUGAGCAAUUAUAUCUGAAGAAAAAGGGAAGAAAUGGGACUAUUCACCCAAAAGUUUGCUCCCAGGUACAUCAAAACUGAGCAUGUGAAGUCCAUUGCUGAUAUCUUGGAACAGAAGAGGCAGGAAUGAUAACACUAAGGCAGAAGUACAACAUCCUGAUUGCAGAUAUUUUGUAGGGAAGACACCCAUGCUGAUAAAAACAAAUUGCACUAUGAGCGAACUUUUAGCGAACAGAUUUGGAUUUUACAUUACCCUUUGGAUGGACUGAUUCUAUCACUCUCUGGUUUAUCCCAAUAACAUAGCUGGGAAAGGGAAUUGGACAUUAUUGAUGGAAGAGAAUUUAUAUGCAAACGUACUGGAAUUUUCCAAGCCACGGGAGGAAAAAAUAUUAUAAUAGGAUAACCUGUGGAAAAGAGGAACCAUGUGUUCUGAGUGGCAGGCCUGCCUUGGUCUUCCCCAAAGGAACACAGCUGCUUCCCCACCCCGCAGAAGAAAUUGCCCGAUCUCCUCCUGCAGAGACCUCCCCCAGUGCAGAGAUGGCCAUCAAGAACACACUCAGACCCUUACAGGAAGUUUUCUGCUGUGUGUACAUCACUAUAUGAUUUCAGUAUACAAGUCAGAAAACAAGUAUUGACUGCUGUUUGGGAGUUUAUAAUUGCAGCUAGCUCUUGGGGCUAGAUGUCCUUCAUACUUUGUUCAUUUGCAUUAUGUUGCUACAGCAAAUACAAAAGCCAGCUAAGCCUACAAUGUACUCACACUCUAGAGAGGCACAAAGGCUAGUUGAUAAAAAUGAGGACUGUGGAGUGGGAAGAGUGUUCUUGGUUGUUUUGUUGGGGUUUUUCAAUUCCUUUCUAAGAGUUUUAUGGCUUUAUCUUCAGUCCUACACAUUCAAUCUUUAUUUUCUAGAAGAAAUUAAAGAAAAUUUAACAUUGCUAAUGUGUUUUUGACUUCACAAAUGUAUUUGAAACAUGAUAAAACUCCUUGCUUUCAAAUAUGUUUUCUCCAAAGCCAGUAAUAGGUUUUAAUGGCUCAGAAAGAAUAUCAUAAAUACAGCAUCAUCAAAACUAAUCUACCAUGAGAAGAAUAGUAAUGUCAAAUGGCCUCUCCUACAGAAAUGUUUUAAUUUUAAUUAAUUACCUAAUUUGUUGGAGCAUUUGUAAUAUAUAUUUAAUGACACUACAGUCUGGCACAGCCUUCCAGACAGUGUUCUGAGGAAACAUGAUCUAAGCAUAGCCUCAAGCUGAUAUUAUCAAAUAACUCACCAUGCUGUGUAAAAAAAAUCCAGAUAAAACAAGCAGCUAAUGUUUCAGCUUCCAGGGCCUCAGGAAAGCUUGUUUUCACCCUAGCCUUUCUCUCUGGCAGCUCCAUCACCUCUGCCUUUAUAUCUGGAAUGUGCAGUAAAUAAAUAUUCAGCACUGGCCUGGUUGUAGUUAGCACCAAGCAAACAAUAGCCCAUUACUAUAUAUCACACUCCAAUUACUAAAGAUCUUGCCAUGUGUCUAAUAGUCUGAUAUAAACAGCCCAUUAAGCUUUCUAAUGGUGGUGUUAAAUAAAGGGUGAACAAAUAGUACUAGAACAGUUAGAAGCCCCUGGGCAGCUUUGCAUCUUCCCAUGCCACUCCUUUAAUGAGAUUAUGUUAUUGCUUUGGUUGGCAGAAACUCAUUUGAAGGUUUCCAGUUCUCCUGCCCUUUUGUGUUGAACUGACAAGGCAGAUGUAUCUAAAUAUUUACCCUUUGGUCCAUUUUCUUCAACAGAGUAAAGUUCUUGCCCUUUAUUCCCACUUACGUCACUGCCUCUUUUUGCCAGACAGAGCAAUGCCUCUCUCCUGAUCAAGCAGGGAAUCUCUGGUACAGACCCUCCCUGGAGUCUAAUGCAGCCCAUGAAUCUCUCAGCAUCUUGAGAGAAAGCAUCAGUCAUGUAAAUGACCCCUGCAUCAGUGUUCUGGCAAGGCAUUGUAAGAGCUUAUUCAAUUAUGGUACAAUAUUUUUUCCAAUUAGGGGAAUGUCCAUUAUUUUUCUUUAUUUUGAUUAAAAAUAGUAGAGCCUUUCAAAGUAAGAAUAACUACCAAAAAAAGCCACUUAAGACUUGGAAAUGUAAAUUCAAAAGACAAUAUAUCAGAAAUAAUAAGUAAAAUAAUUUAAUAACAAUUUAAUAAUUUAAUAACAAGUAAAAUAAUUGAAGAAGUAUUAGAUUAGAAUAAAAAUGUUUACAGAACUCUAAAACUAAGUUUCCUUUAUAAAGGCUAUAGCAUAGUUGGUGUGUGUUAUACAGAGUAUUGAAACACCAGGAAACAACAUUCAGUAAUGAUCUCCAUCACAGACUGAAACUGCCUUAACUGCUGAGCUCUAGUAUAAACAAAUAAACUGAAAAAAAUUACAAAACUGACUUUAAAAGCCUGGGUCUCACAGAUUGAUUGUUGUUUAGUUUAAGCCAUAAUGAACAGUAAACUAUGGACAUGCUGUUUACUUUUAGAGAUGUUAGUAUGCCAGAAGACAGAAAUUAUGCAGCUCUUUAGUUUAGAUCUAGCUGACAAAACCUGCUAAAUUGUUGUAAAAAUUCAACUUUGAUAUUAUACACUAAUCAAGUCCAGAAUGAUGGUGUA